GCCUGGCUGGCUCAGUCAGUAUAGUGUGUGACUCUUGAUCACAGGGGUGUGAGUUCAAGCCCCACGUUGGAUG
rnacentral:tRNA from 1 species